AGCCAGCUGACGAAUCUCGAAUAGGACGAAACGCUCGUCCUGAAU
rnacentral:hammerhead_ribozyme from 1 species